CCUACGGGGCGCAGCAGUGGGGAAUAUUGGGCAAUGGGCGCAAGCCUGACCCAGCAACGCCGCGUGAAGGAAGAAGGCUUUCGGGUUGUAAACUUCUUUUCUGGGGGACGAACAAAUGACGGUACCCCAGGAAUAAGCCACGGCUAACUACGUGCCAGCAGCCGCGGUAAUACGUAGGUGGCAAGCGUUAUCCGGAUUUAUUGGGUGUACAGGGCGUGUAGGCGGGAGCGCAAGUCUGAUGUGA
rnacentral:rRNA from 1 species